rnacentral:rRNA from 1 species
AUUGAACGCUGGCGGCAUGCUUUACACAUGCAAGUCGAACGGUAACAGGGUGCUUGCACCGCUGACGAGUGGCGAACGGGUGAGUAAUGCGUCGGAACGUGCCGAGUAGUGGGGGAUAACGCAGCGAAAGUUGUGCUAAUACCGCAUACGUACUGAGGUAGAAAGUGGGGGACCUUCGGGCCUCACGCUAUUCGAGCGGCCGACGUCUGAUUAGCUAGUAGGUGAGGUAAAGGCUCACCUAGGCGACGAUCAGUAGCGGGUCUGAGAGGAUGAUCCGCCACACUGGGACUGAGACACGGCCCAGACUCCUACGGGAGGCAGCAGUGGGGAAUUUUGGACAAUGGGCGAAAGCCUGAUCCAGCCAUGCCGCGUCUGAAGAAGGCCUUCGGGUUGUAAAGGACUUUUGUCAGGGAGGAAAUCCCUAGUGCUAAUAACACUGGGGGAUGACAGUACCUGAAGAAUAAGCACCGGCUAACUACGUGCCAGCCGCCGCAGUAA